UUUUAUGAGAGUUUGAUCCUGGCUCAGGACGAACGCUGGCGGCGUGCCUAAUACAUGCAAGUCGAACGCUUCUUUUUCCACCGGAGCUUGCUCCACCGGAAAAAGAGGAGUGGCGAACGGGUGAGUAACACGUGGGUAACCUGCCCAUCAGAAGGGGAUAACACUUGGAAACAGGUGCUAAUACCGUAUAACAAUCAAAACCGCAUGGUUUUGAUUUGAAAGGCGCUUUCGGGUGUCGCUGAUGGAUGGACCCGCGGUGCAUUAGCUAGUUGGUGAGGUAACGGCUCACCAAGGCCACGAUGCAUAGCCGACCUGAGAGGGUGAUCGGCCACAUUGGGACUGAGACAC
rnacentral:rRNA from 1 species